GAUGAAGAACGUAGCGAAAUGCGAUACGUAAUGUGAAUUGCAGAAUUCAGUGAAUCAUCGAGUCUUUGAACGCACAUUGCGCCCUCUGGUAUUCCGGAGGGCAUGCCUGUCCGAGCGUCAUUGCUGCCCUCAAGCACGGCUUGUGUGUUGGGCCCCGUCCUCCUUCCGGGGGACGGGUCCGAAAGGCAGCGGCGGCACCGCGUCCGGUCCUCAAGCGUAUGGGGCUUUGUCACUCGCUUUGUAGGCCUGGCCGGCGCUUGCCGAUCAACCAAACUUUUUAUCAGGUUGACCUCGGAUCAGGUAGGACUACCCGCUGAACUUAAGCAUAUCAAUAAGCGGAGGA
rnacentral:misc_RNA from 1 species